AGUGAACGCUGGCGGUAGGCCUAACACAUGCAAGUCGAACGGCAGCACAGUAAGAGCUUGCUCUUACGGGUGGCGAGUGGCGGACGGGUGAGGAAUACAUCGGAAUCUACUUUUUCGUGGGGGAUAACGUAGGGAAACUUACGCUAAUACCGCAUACGACCUACGGGUGAAAGCAGGGGAUCUUCGGACCUUGCGCGAUUGAAUGAGCCGAUGUCGGAUUAGCUAGUUGGCGGGGUAAAGGCCCACCAAGGCGACGAUCCGUAGCUGGUCUGAGAGGAUGAUCAGCCACACUGGAACUGAGACACGGUCCAGACUCCUACGGGAGGCAGCAGUGGGGAAUAUUGGACAAUGGGCGCAAGCCUGAUCCAGCCAUACCGCGUGGGCGAAGAAGGCCUUCGGGUUGCAAAGCCCUUUUGUUGGGAAAGAAAAGCAGCAGGUUAAUACCCCGCUGUUCUGACGGUACCCAAAGAAUAAGCACCGGCUAACUUCGUG
rnacentral:rRNA from 1 species